CUACAGCUUCCCUUUUACCAAAGAUGUGUACAGUCAGGAAUAGAUUCAAUAAAAGAAUUCAUACACCAAUGAACCUACCUUCACGUAGGGAUAUAAUUACUGUAUCUCAAUCUCGGGUCAUCCACACCAGCCCUCUGUAAAGUAUCAGCCACAAAGAGAAAUCCCCCGGCUUCAUUGUGCCAUGUUUCUGCAGGGAAGCAAGUAAAUGUCCAGACCUCUAUAAAAGUAUCCUUUUAGGGGCAGUUGGUAUCCAAUAUUUUGAUCUCUGGGACCCCCGCAAUCUCCAGAACAGGGCCAUGAUGAGGUUGAUAAAACGUCCAAUACAUGCAGAUGGUAAAGAAGGUUUUAGCUGAAUUUUCUGUCGUGUUAGAAAGCGGAGACGCAUUCUUCAUUUCCAGUUAAUACUAUCAGCAGUCAUGUGGGAACGUAUAUGAAUCGCUUCCUUCAGACAGACACGGCUUGGAGAACUGGCUUGCUACUGCAUACUUACAACCUACUCAUGAAAAGGCUUCCACCAGUGGCUAUCAUAGUGGACAGCUACAACAUAACUACAUUGAUGGGGUUUCUGAUCAACUUUAAAACAAUGAAGAAGGUAUGCAACAAAAUGGCCACCAGGAAUUCCAUCCCACUGCCAUUGCAAGACAGAGAAAAGUGACAGCCAGUGGUUUCUAUGGGCCACAGGCUCCAAGUGUGAACAAGACACCUAACCAACAAAAGACAAACAAAUGCUUCACACAACAUUGUAUUUAAAUGCAUAAGUGUCUUCCUCUUGUGCUACACAAUGCAUGAAAAUAAA